UGGGAGAGUCGUUGGGUUGUAUAUUGUCUCCAGCUCCAAAGUCUCCCUUUAAUACUCGGCUUUGUGAUGCUGGGUUUGGAACUCUGCAGAGCACUGUUCCGCUCUGCCAGAUGGCUCCCGGCUAGGCUGUGGGUGCUUGAGGGAGAUGCAGGGCGUGGGGAUAAGGGACUUGCUCCUCCCAUCUGUUUCCGUUUCUGAGCAUCUCCUCCUAACAAAGCUUCUUCCACCCGCUGCGGUUUGUUCCUUCUGGUGGCAACAGUUGAAUCCAGGACACAGGUUUUCUGACUUGCAGAACUGAGCACCCUCCUUGGAGAAACCACAGCACUAGCCAAGCAGAGGCCCUCCUCAGAGUGUGGGAUCCUGAAAGCCAAAAGAAUUGCUUCGGGAAAAAGGAAACUACCUAAUUCUACUGAAAGAAGGAAGAAGAUGGAGAGACAGCCAGAGCCUCGAAACGCAGUAACCACUGGAGUUAGCAAUAUGGAGUCUGACCUUGCCGAAACUUCCUUUGGAAUGGUGGGCCUGGAAGCUGGCCUGGAGUGAGUCGAAGCACUCAAGGGAGUUGAGAAUUAGAUAAGGCCUCUCCCUGAAGGCAAACAGCUGUCAUCACCUUUCUACCUGGUCUUACCACUGAAUGGGCUGACAUGGAAGCAGAGAACUCUGCAGGAAGCUGUGUGAGAGCUGCUGCUGAAGGAUGUUCUUUGUGAUCCUGCAAUCUGCGCAAGGACCUGCACUCACAAUGACACUGUAACAGGAAGUUGCUAAUUCUGCUGCUUGCUGGAGCGGAAAGUUCCUGCCGAACGUCCAUGCCAACUGCAUCAACAAAUUGGCCUUAAAAACACACUCACUCCUGGUGCAUGAGACCUCAGUUGGGGUGUGUAUGAUUUCCUACCCUGGUGAAAAGGAGAGCAUGUAUUCAGAAGCGGGCAUAUUAUUUUCCCUCACUCUGAACUCCUGCAGGUAUACACAGUUGGAAAGAAUUUAUCUCCAUUCUACCCCCACUCAUUUUGCUGCCAUCCAUCUCUUAGGAGUCUGCAAGCAGCCUAGGAACUGGCGUCCAGAGCCCACAGUGAGAAUGCCUGGAAAUUGUGACUUUUGAAUGUGUUCCUUUCAUCCCCUAGGAAAAUGGGAAAUAUGUAUAUUAAGAGCACCUGGUGGGGGUCUUUUUGAAGUACACCCCUCUCAAACCCACUAAGUGAAUAGGGAGGAAAGAGCAGCAAAAGAAGACUUUCAAUGAACCCCAAGAGUCCCCCUACUACUGUGCUUUCACACAAAGCAAUGUCAGAAGGAGCCAAGUCUGAAGACUAACUUAUGGACUGACAGUGAUGAGUUAAUUAUCUUUUAUUCAAAAGAUAACUAUUGAAGCAGAAUACUAUACUCAGCAGUUGGGACUAGAAAGAUAAAUAAAACAUGA